rnacentral:rRNA from 1 species
UACGAAGGGGGCUAGCGUUGUUCGGAAUUACUGGGCGUAAAGCGUGCGCAGGCGGCCAUCCAAGUCAGUGGUGAAAGCCCGGAGCUCAACUCCGGAACUGCCUUUAAGACUGCAUCGCUUGAAUCCAGGAGAGGUGAGUGGAAUUCCGAGUGUAGAGGUGAAAUUCGUAGAUAUUCGGAAGAACACCAGUGGCGAAGGCGGCAUACUGGACCACUUCUGACGCUGAGGCGCGAAAGCCAGGGGAGCAAACGGG